AGCGAACGCUGGCGGCAGGCCUAACACAUGCAAGUCGAACGAGUCCUUCGGGACUAGUGGCAGACGGGUGAGUAACGCGUGGGAACGUGCCCUUUGGUUCGGAACAACACAGGGAAACUUGUGCUAAUACCGGAUAAGCCCUUCGGGGGAAAGAUUUAUCGCCAUUGGAGCGGCCCGCGUUGGAUUAGGUAGUUGGUGAGGUAAAGGCUCACCAAGCCUACGAUCCAUAGCUGGUCUGAGAGGAUGAUCAGCCACACUGGGACUGAGACACGGCCCAGACUCCUACGGGAGGCAGCAGUGGGGAAUCUUGCGCAAUGGGCGAAAGCCUGACGCAGCCAUGCCGCGUGAAUGAUGAAGGUCUUAGGAUUGUAAAAUUCUUUCAGNAGGGACGAUAAUGACGGUACCUGCAGAAGAAGCCCCGGCUAACUUCGUGCCAGCAGCAGCU
rnacentral:rRNA from 1 species